GGUGUCCCCCGCCGUGAUGUUGCUGGAAUAUUGCUAUAAAGCGGCAUAAAACCAAACUCAGUCAGUCAGUCAGUCAGUCAUGUUAUUUGUAGGGUGUUGGUUUACAUGCUUCUACUGGAUGGUCAUCGUCUGUAUUUCCUGUUUCCUGAUAAUGUGGCGGGUAGGUAUGAAUGCUGGCAUAUGGAACCCUGAUGCCGAAAUUCAUGUGAUUAAAUAAAUAAUGAGACAAAGUCCAAGUUGAUUUUACUUUCCGAUUCGAAAUUCUAGUGACUUCUUUAACGUGUUCAGUUUCAUCACUUGUGUGGCUGAUAGAUAACUUAUCUGUAGUGUUGCAUAAUGACGUUCAGUUGCUUUGGUUUUACUCCAUUAAAUUGCAUGUUCAAAAUGCCAGUGAAUUCCUGUAAUCAACUGCAAGUGAACAAUUGCAUAAUAAUUUGAUAGAAAUUGACCAGAAAUGUAAGUUAUGAAUGGCUUGGAAUAAGCUGCAACGGUAUAUGUGUGCUGUCGUGUAUGGUUUAGGCAGAAAUAUCAGCAGUUAUGAGAUCAUCCUGUUCCCUGUUUAAUUGAUUUCACUUUGAUCUGUGCAAAUGAUUAAAACAUAACAUAAAAGAUGUAUGUACUGUAUGUGUGUUUGCAAUAUUCAGAUUGAUUUUUAGUUUGUCAAACAUCCAACCAGACUAACUGAAGAAUACCAAUGCCAUUGUUUUCUAGUCAAACAUUUACUUCAUUCACUGACAUCCUGUAACAAGAUUGUGUUUUGAAUCAGUUAUAUGGUAACUGGAAUAACCACCACACUAUAUAUCUCUGUGGUUCUGGAAGAUGCAUUCCUUCCGUUUUCUCUCUGAUCUCACUACAAUAAGACUUAAGCUCUUGCUAACCCUUUGGUUUACUGGAGAGAGAACUAACUUCUGGUUUUAAACGAGAUUCGUUUGUUGAUGCUAUUCGAAGUGUUGUUACAGAAAAGUUGAAAAGUUGUUCACUCACUCACUUGUACUAUCACUGCUCCCUUCCAGUGUGGCACUGUUGUCAUCUUUACAUUUCUGUCUCCUUCCAUCACUGUAACAAUUAUAAUAUGUCCUGUUUGGGGGUACUGGUAACCAUGAGUGUUUAGUACAUGGUUGGUGCUAGAACUACAUACCACACUGACACAGCUAUAUCCUGUAUGUGUCAUGUGGUCAUUGUAGAAUCACUUUGUUGGCUUUAAAAACACCUUAUAUUUAGAAAUUGUGUAUUGCCUAAAUCUUCAUAAAUGAUAUAAGGCUUGAUUUGUUGCCGAUAUGUUCAUUGCACCCAGUCCUUUCAUUAAACACACACAAGGCAAAGUGAUUCAUUUGUUCUCACUAGUAAUACAUUGCUUGGUUGAAUGAGAAUGUAAUUGGUGCACGCUUAGAUUUUUGUCUUUCAUAUAUUCAUAUUGUCAGUUACUUGAUAUAACUGCAUGUUGAUUUAGGUGUUAUUUGAAAGGAUGACCUACUAGCUUCCACUGUAAUGCACUGAAUAUUAUCUGUUGCCAGAAAAUAGCAUCUUAGACCAGUUCCAGGUUUUAUCUGAUUGUAUGGCUGUGUAGGGAAUAUUCACCUAGCUUUCAUAUAUUUACUUUGCUUAUGGACUUCAGAAAUUAUGUUUGUGUACAUUUUAUCUUUGUUGACAUUAUAUAGUUUUUAGUUGCAAUACCUUUAGUGAGUCUGUGAUAAGGUAUUAAAGUUUUAUUAUAAUUC